AUUGAACGCUGGCGGCAGGCCUAACACAUGCAAGUCGAACGGUAACAGGGAUCAGCUUGCUGAUUCGCUGACGAGUGGCGGACGGGUGAGUAAUGUCUGGGAAACUGCCUGAUGGAGGGGGAUAACUACUGGAAACGGUAGCUAAUACCGCAUAACGUCGCAAGACCAAAGAGGGGGACCUUCGGGCCUCUUGCCAUCGGAUGUGCCCAGAUGGGAUUAGCUAGUAGGUGGGGUAACGGCUCACCUAGGCGACGAUCCCUAGCUGGUCUGAGAGGAUGACCAGCCCCACUGGAACUGAGACACGGUCCAGACUCCUACGGGAGGCAGCAGUGGGGAAUAUUGCACAAUGGGCGCAAGCCUGAUGCAGCCAUGCCGCGUGUAUGAAGAAGGCCUUCGGGUUGUAAAGUACUUUCAGCGGGGAGGAAGGGAGUAAAGUUAAUACCUUUGCUCAUUGACGUUACCCGCAGAAGAAGCACCGGCUAACUCCGUG
rnacentral:rRNA from 1 species